GAUGAACGCUGGCGGCGUGCCUAAUACAUGCAAGUCGAGCGAACAGACGAGGAGCUUGCUCCUCUGACGUUAGCGGCGGACGGGUGAGUAACACGUGGAUAACCUACCUAUAAGACUGGGAUAACUUCGGGAAACCGGAGCUAAUACCGGAUAAUAUAUUGAACCGUAUGGUUCAAUAGUGAAAGACGGUUUUGCUGUCACUUAUAGAUGGAUCCGCGCCGCAUUAGCUAGUUGGUAAGGUAACGGCUUACCAAGGCGACGAUGCGUAGCCGACCUGAGAGGGUGAUCGGCCACACUGGAACUGGGGCACGAUCCAGACUCCUACGGGAAGCAGCAGUAGAGAAUCUUCCGCAAUGGGCGAAAGCCUGACGGAGCAACGCCGCGUGGGUGAUGAAGGUCUUCGGAUCGUAAAACUCUGUUAUUAGGGAAGAACAAAUGUGUAAGUAACUAUGCACGUCUUGACGGUACCUAAUCAGAAAGCCACGGCUAGCUACGUG
rnacentral:rRNA from 1 species